rnacentral:rRNA from 1 species
AGUUUGAUCCUGGCUCAGGAUGAACGCUAGCUACAGGCUUAACACAUGCAAGUCGAGGGGCAUCAGGAAGAAAGCUUGCUUUCUUUGCUGGCGACCGGCGCACGGGUGAGUAACACGUAUCCAACCUGCCGAUGACUCGGGGAUAGCCUUUCGAAAGAAAGAUUAAUACCCGAUGGUAUAUCUGAAAGGCAUCUUUCAGCUAUUAAAGAAUUUCGGUCAUUGAUGGGGAUGCGUUCCAUUAGGUUGUUGGCGGGGUAACGGCCCACCAAGCCAUCGAUGGAUAGGGGUUCUGAGAGGAAGGUCCCCCACAUUGGAACUGAGACACGGUCCAAACUCCUACGGGAGGCAGCAGUGAGGAAUAUUGGUCAAUGGACGAGAGUCUGAACCAGCCAAGUAGCGUGAAGGAUGACUGCCCUAUGGGUUGUAAACUUCUUUUAUACGGGAAUAAAGUUAGGCACGUGUGCCUUUUUGUAUGUACCGUAUGAAUAAGGAUCGGCUAACUCCGUGCCAGCAGCCGCGGUAAUACGGAGGAUCCGAGCGUUAUCCGGAUUUAUUGGGUUUAAAGGGAGCGUAGGCGGAUGCUUAAGUCAGUUGUGAAAGUUUGCGGCUCAACCGUAAAAUUGCAGUUGAUACUGGGUGUCUUGAGUACAGUAGAGGCAGGCGGAAUUCGUGGUGUAGCGGUGAAAUGCUUAGAUAUCACGAAGAACUCCGAUUGCGAAGGCAGCUUGCUGGACUGUAACUGACGCUGAUGCUCGAAAGUGUGGGUAUCAAACAGGAUUAGAUACCCUGGUAGUCCACACAGUAAACGAUGAAUACUCGCUGUUUGCGAUAUACAGUAAGCGGCCAAGCGAAAGCGUUAAGUAUUCCACCUGGGGAGUACGCCGGCAACGGUGAAACUCAAAGGAAUUGACGGGGGCCCGCACAAGCGGAGGAACAUGUGGUUUAAUUCGAUGAUACGCGAGGAACCUUACCCGGGCUUAAAUUGCAAAUGAAUGUUCUGGAAACAGAUCAGCCGCAAGGCAUUUGUGAAGGUGCUGCAUGGUUGUCGUCAGCUCGUGCCGUGAGGUGUCGGCUUAAGUGCCAUAACGAGCGCAACCCUUAUCGAUAG